GUAUCGCUAAGAACAAGUCAUGUUCUUACAUCUUUAGCAGUAGCUGAAACUGAUGCAAGUAAAAUACGACGAAUCGAAGAUCUCAUAUCACAUCUUGAACAGUAUCCUGAGGCAAAGCAUAAUGCAGUUAAGGAAGGAGCUAUUCGUACAUUACUACGUAUUCGCCAGUCAGC